GAGAUGAUGAUGCCGACCCUUGAUACAUAUUGUAGAUUGUGUCACUUGACAGCUAGGAGUGAUGUCUACAGCUUCGGGGUUGUCCUUCUUGAGCUCUUAACAGGACGCCGGUCUGUGGACAAGAUAUUCUAUAUUUUCUGAUUGUAUCAAUCUUUUUUCUGAAUGGAACAGGCAUGGAGGCAGGGCUUAUGCUUUGUGAUUGCCAGCUUGUCCUAGGAUCACUACAGAUUGGCAUUUAUGGACGACUUUGAACCUUCUAGUCAUGUGGCUGAUUCUACUAAAUCUGACAAUGACAAUGAUGAGGUUGCAGCCAUCGCAAAGUCCUUAAAGAAGAAGGCAAAGGAGUUUAAGCAGCAGGAAGCCCAUGAAAAUGUCAAUGCUGAGUCAUAUAUUGUCAAUGCAGAAAAUGCGCGUUCUAAAAAGAAGCUGAAAUCUUCCAAGUCUAAUUAAUCAAAGGCCAGUUUCAAUCACAUGGAGAGAGGGGACAGGAUUGAUUUUUUCCUUUGAUUUUCUUUAUUGAAACAAAAGCACUGUAAGUCCUUUCCAGAAUCUGGUAAUACUGUCAAAUGAGUGAUGCUUUGCCCUCUUUCUGGAGCUUAUAUAUGACAUGGGGCUUUGUAGGUGUUUUUAUCUUAUAAACCGAAAGGAGUAGAAGUGAAAGCUCAAUUUUCAGGUUGGCUGCUCUGCGACGCGAUGAUCCUAGUACUUUUGUUUUGAGCAACUGCUUCAUACCGUCAUGGUGUUAAGAACCAACCAACAAUUAUAUGCUGUCUUGUAACACAUCAGUUUUGAGGGUGUCAAAAUCAGUUGAACAGGUCGACUGUUUUUAGCCUUUGU